GAUGAACGCUGGCGGCGUGCUUAACACAUGCAAGUCGAGCGAAGCGCUUUUGCGGAUUUCUUCGGAUUGAAGCAACUGUGACUGAGCGGGCGUGGGCAAGGUACGCUAGGUAACUGCUCAUCAGGGAUACAGUGGAACGCUGCUAAUACCGCAUAAGCGCACAGUACCGCAUGGUACCGUGUGAAAAACUCCGGUGGUAUGAGAUGGACCCGCGUCUGAUUAGCUAGUUGGUGGGGUAACGGCCUACCAAGGCAACGAUCAGUAGCCGACCUGAGAGGGUGACCGGCCACAUUGGGACUGAGACACGGCCCAA
rnacentral:rRNA from 1 species